rnacentral:lncRNA from 1 species
AAGGCUGCCAGUUGGAAAAACAUCCUAGCAUGUGUCAGGCACAGGGAAGAGGUUUUACGGAAUUUUCCUAGGACAGAGAGAGAAUAGAUAACAUGAGGUGGUAAGAGUCUUUUAGUCCCUAACAUAACUUACCUUGAAGAGUUUGCGUAGAAUUUGACCUGGGAAGAAGAGAAUAUAUAUGGCUGGUGGCUGGUUUGGUUUUUUGGGUUUUUUUUGUUGUUGUUGUUGUUGUUGUUGCUGUUUUUUGGUUUGUGAUGUGUGUGUGUGUUCAUGUGCAUGUAUAGGUAGACUUUUUGGCUACUUUAUUGGGUUCUUUUACCUGCCUCUCUUCUCCACCCCGAUCCCUUGUAACCCCCAACACUAGGUCAGUGAGGAAAGGUUAGAGGGAAAGGGGGCAUAGAUCUCUUUGGACUACUUCCUUGUGAUUAGGGAUGUCAAAUUUCCUAGAGGAAAGUCCAGUCUUCAUUGUCAGGACUUCUCCAACCAGCAGACCAGCAAACCAGCAACACACACGCAGCAGCAGGAAUCAGCAGCAGCCUCCACCCCCCUCAGGGCUCUCAGCAGACCCUCGGAUUCCAAAGGUAAACGACCUUCAGCUGGCAGAAUCGUGCCCCUGCCCACCAUGAGACGAGUCAUAGUCAGCUGCUGUGGACAAUCUGAAGCAGCCCCAUAUCCCACGCCUGGGGUUAAAACUAAAGCAUAAUCACAAAACAUAACUGGGGUUUUUCAUAUAAGAAAAUUUAAAGCUAACAGAGCACUAGUUAGUCUGUCUUUACAGGGUCUUUACUCUUCCUUUUUGUUUUAUUAGCAUUUCUUUAAAAAUGCAACUAGAUCUUUCUACAACUGCUUGUCUUGUAGGAUUGUGUGAUAUAUCUGUAAUAUGCUUUAUAUUAUAAUAUUCAAAGAAUUGCUUCAUCUCACUGAAGACAUGUGAGAGGGCAUUAUCAGUAUUAAUUUGUGCAGGUGUCCUCCAAACUUCUGUUAUUUCCAAUAAAUGUGCAAUUACAGAACCAGCUUUUCGGAACUCAAAGCAGUUGCACAUUGGGACUGAAUAUGAAUCGUGUAUGGUGUGCAAACUGUAGUGUUAGAAAUUCUGCAAAAUGGAACACAUCAUCUGUCUGCCAGAUUUCAUUUCCUUUAGCACUCCUAGGACUACUCGGCAGGUAAUGAAGUUUGGUUAUACAGAGAAUAAGUAAGGCAUUUUUUUAUCUCCUCGGCUUGUUGCCAAAUCAUAGAAAAAAAAUUUAAACUUUGAUUGUUAACAUGGUGGGUUUUUUUCAUGAAAUUUUGAGGCUUCUAAUACAUUUCCCAUUGAUAAUUGGUCAAUUUCUUCAUUUCCUUGUGCCAAUAGACUGCUCAACCUGUAUGAGACUGAAUAUGAGUCUCAUAUUCAAAAAUACAAUGGAAAGUGUCUAUUUCUGAUUGCCAGUUGCGGUUGCACAAAUAAGAUUAAUUCUGAGCCAUCCGGAACAAAUUCAGCAGUUUCUAUAUACAGAACAACUCUUUCUGCAUACUGAGAGUCAGUAAUUGUUAAGAGAUUCAGAGAAAUCUAGCACUAGGGUUGCAUACAGCUCUGACUUUUGAACGGAAUUUCGUGGGCUUUGGGUCACUUUGCUUAUUUUGUCCGACUUACAGCCUUCCAUUCUCAACUUACUUGCAUCAGGAUAGAAUGUAGGCGCCUCAGGAACUGGCCUUCCCUUUACAAUACUUGGGAGAAUCCAAUUAGUUCUUUUUGUAAAUUGAAGAUGCUUGCUUUGGAGAUAUUUGUUAAUUUCUCCCAAAUAGUUGUUACAUGCUUUGCAAAUCUUCAUUGAUUACACAUAGUGACAUAAUCUCAGCAUUAGUAAAAGGCACCACAAUUUUGGCUGUGUCUGUUACUGAUAAUUCAUAUAGUCUUAUUCUACCUUUUAUAAUUAAAUCAGAAACCUUUUCUAUAUAUGUAAGUUUUUAACUUUUUACUUUGUGUAUUAAGAAAAUCUAUCUAUAAUUCUAUCUUCCCUUUGUAUAAUGAGCCACGUAAGAGAAUGAGUUGAUGGCAAAAAAAUGAAAAUACAAUCAAGCUUAGGCUCUGUGUGAUCCACAUAUGCAUCUUGCUGUGAGUAAACUCUUUACUUCCACUGUUAACCAUUCUAUACUGUUUUAAGUCUGAAUUUACUUGUAAUGGUUGAAAUAAGUUACUUGACGAGUUAAUCUGGUUGUAGGCCAUAGCCAAUUAAUAUUUCCCAUUAAUUUUUGAAAAGCAUUAAGAGUUUGCAACUGGGGGCUGGUGAGAUGGCUCAGUGGGUAAGAGCACCCGACUGCUCUUCCGAAGGUCCAGAGUUCAGAUCCCAGCAACCACAUGGUGGCUCACAACCAUCCGCAACAAGAUCUGACUCCCUCUUCUGGAGUGUCUGAGGACAGCUACAGUGUACUUACAUAUAUUAAUAAAAUAAAUCUUUAAAAAAAAAAAAAAAAAAAAGAGUUUGCAACUGAUCUCUACAGAUCUGUACCUUUUAUGGUUAAUAUUUUAUAACCCAAAUAGUUAACCAAAUCUACUCUCUGUAUUUUACAGGAGUGAUCUGUAAUUCCCAGCAUGGCAGAAUUCUUUGUGUUUUUUAAAAACGUUUUCUCUAAAGUAUCUUUGUCAGAAUUAGCCAACAGCACAUCAUCCAUGUAAUGAUAAAUAAUAGAUUGAGGGAAUUGCCUACAAGUUAUUUCUAGCUGUUGUUGCUCAAAAUACUGACAUAAAGUUGGACUAUUUAACAUUCCACUUGGGAGCAUUUAUUGGACCACUAUUAUGAUCAGUAGAUGCUAAGAAAGCAAACCCUUUCUUAUCAUGCUCAUGCAGAAGGAUUGUGAAAACACUCUUUUAAGUCAAUCAAUGUCAUAGGCUAUGACCUAGGUCAUGAAGAAGGUAAAGGAAUUCCCGGCUGUAAACGUCCCAGGGGUUGAAUUACUCAGUUCAGCAUUCUUAAAUCUGAUAACAUCCUCUAUUUUCCUGAUUUCAUUUUUGUUUUUGUUUGUUUUAUUUUUUUUCUUUUUUGUAACAAACACAGGCGAAUUCCAUGGAUUGUUAGACUCUCCUGUAUGGUAAGCCUCCACCUGCUCUUGUACUAGCUGCUCACUGCCUGCAGGUUUUCCCCAGUUAAGGGCCACUGCUCUACCCAUACAGGCUUGUCAGCCAGCUAUUUUAGGGCAGGGCUGUUGUGAUUCGGAAACCCAGUCCCUGGAACAGCCCGUGAUUGUUUUUGAUGACACAUACCAGUAUCUUUCCCAGGAACAUCUACCAUCUCCCUAAAGUUUCAUCAUGAGCUGUCUCUGGGAUUCAGGAAUAUCUGAGUACCAACCAUGUUGUUGUAAAAUAUCCCUUCCCCAUAAAUUUAUGGGUAUGUCAGCCACAUAAGGUCUCCGCUUCCCUGUUUGCCCUUCUGGUCCUAACCCAUUGUACACUUUGUUUUAUUUGAGGUAAUAUACCAAUUCCCGUAAACUGUAUGAACAUUAUGAAGUGGCCAUUCAGAGUUCCACGAUUUUGGGGAAAUGAUAGUCACAUCAACUCCUGUAUCCACCAAACCUUCUAUUUCAACACUAUUUACCUAAAGUUUAACUUUGGUCAUUAACUAUCCACUGUUUGCUAAAGCACACGUUUUUCAGUACUCCC